UACAGAGGUCUCAAGCGUUGUUCGGAUUCAUUGGGCGUAAAGGGCGCGUAGGUGGCGGGGUAAGUCAGGUGUGAAAUCUCGAGGCUCAACCUCGAAACUGCACUUGAUACUGCCUUGCUCGAGUACUGGAGAGGAGAUUGGAAUUUACGGUGUAGCAGUGAAAUGCGUAGAUAUCGUAAGGAAGACCAGUGGCGAAGGCGAAUCUCUGGACAGUUACUGACACUGAGGCACGAAGGCCAGGGGAGCAAACAGG
rnacentral:rRNA from 1 species